rnacentral:lncRNA from 1 species
UCUGCAAGGAUGUGGGUUUGAUCCUUUGCCUCAGUCCGUUGGUUAAGGAUCCAGCAUUUUUUUUUGCAAACUGCAGCAUAGGUUGCAGCUGUGACUCUGAUUCUGUGUUGUCGUGGCUGUGGCAUAGGCCUCAACUGCAGCUCUGAUUCAGCCCCUGGCCUGGGAACUUCCAUAUGCCACAGGUGUGGCUGUAAAAAGAAAAAAAAAAAUAUGGAUUUGGCAUGUAAGGCUCUUGGGUCAUUUAUUGUGAAGGAUCAACUAAUUUCAGUUUAGGUGUCUUUUUUUAAUCCACAAUACCUAGUUUUUUUCUCUGCUAGCUAGCUGUGUUGAUUGCACCUGCCUGGUAUAUACUGAGAACCAGGCAUGGUGCUUCUGCAAAGGUCCCAGCACAUUCCUGUAGAUUCACAGGCAACUAAGUAGUAAGAGGAGCUAUUUGAGGAAGAUUAUUUGAUAACACCGUGGACUGAGCAGGAGAGGGGAGCUGGGAGACAGGAAAGGAGAGGCUGCUGCAGUGACCAGCAACUUUAGCCACAGGACGCCCCCGGGCCCCUGAAUCUGGCUCCCCCUGCCAAUCUAGCCCCUGUCUCGCACAAAGCAUGUCCCUCAACAGUUUCCAGUAUAGUCACAUCCAUUCCUUCUCUCAUUAGUCCCAGUAGCCAAAUGCUCUGGGUCCAAAAAUCUCCCCUGGGAGUUUCUGUCGUGUCUCAGUGGUUAACGAACCCAACUAGCAUCCAUGAGGAUGCAGGUUCAAUUCCUGGUCUCUCCCAGUGGGUUAAGGAUACAGCAUUGCUGUGAGCUGUGGUGUAGGUCAAAGCUGAGGCUCGGAUCCCACAUUCCUGUGGCUGUGGCAUAGGUCAGCGGCUACAGCUUCAAUUGGACCUCUAGCCUGGGAACCUCCAUAUGCUGCAGGUGAGGCCCUAAAAAGACAAAAAGACAAAAACAAACAAACAAAAAAUUCCCCUGAGUUCUCAUGACUUGUCCAUACCCACUGCUAGCAACCACCCACACUGGUAAAUCUUGUAAUUCCAGGCUGUGCUACUUGAGUCCUAGUUCAUAUACCUGGUAAGCUAUAUAUGCCUGGCACUGUCCUUAGAGGUCAAAUGUUCUAGAAGUCUGCAACCAAUUUUAGCAAAUAAACUCUCUUCAUCCAAUGAAAUCUUUGGGAAAUCGAUAUAAACAGAUGAAAAGAGAGUAAUGGAUUCCCUUGGGAGUUCACAGUUUCCUAAUUUAUGGAAAAUUUCUGACUGCUGUGGAAUGGAUGAGGUACCUCCAUAAAGCCCCACGUUUCCCCCGAAACCAUUUGAAAACCACAGAUCUCUCCAAACUCUUCACUUUACAGAUGAGGAAGUGAGCAACAAAGGGAACUAACCAAAAGCACACACGCAGAAUGCAAGAUCUGAGAGGGAACUCUGGUAUCUUGGCACCUUUUUUUAAAAAAAAUAAAAAUUAAAAUUGAUUUAUAGUGUUGUGCCAUUUUCUGCUGUACAGCGUAGUGACCCAAUCAUAUAUAGAUAUACACACACAUUCUUUUUCUCAUAGUAUUUAUCAUCAUAUUUUAUCCCAAGAGAUUGGAUAUAAUUCCCUGUGCUGUACAGUAGGACCUUAUUACUUUACAUCCAUUCUAAAUGUAAUAGUGCAUUUACCAACCCCAAACUCCUCUGGAAUGGAAUGAGUUUAUUAGCUGUUUAAGGAAGUGCUUCUCAAGUGGGUUCCAGAGAGCACCUUUCAAAAUGUUCUUUGAAAAGUAGAUCACAAGGCUCAAAUACAUUUUGGAAAUGCCCUCCUACAAUCUCCUGUAGCUGACUCUCAGAGCAUAUUAAUAUGCUUGAGACUCUGAGAAAUCCCACACAACAGAAAGCUGUUUAUCUUUGCUUCCUCCAGUAACCCCCCAACUUUUUUCUAAGUACUCCCUUUUUCUUUUUUUGGUCUUUUUUUUGUCUUUUUAGGGCCACACCCAUGGCAUUUGGAGGUUCCCAGGCUAGGGGUCCAAUUGGAGCUGUUGCUGCCAGCCUACACCAGAUCCGAGCUGCAUCUGUGACCUACACCACAGCUCAUGGCAGGGCCAGAUCCUUAACCCACUGAGCAAGGCCAGGGGUUGAACACAACCUGAUGGUUCCUAGUUGGAUUUGUUUCUUCUGCCCCACAACAUGAACUCCAGGACUCCCUUUUUCUAGAUCUACUUGCAUUCUGCUUAGCUAUUGCCAAUCACUUGUGAUGGAAUAUGAUGGAGGACAAUGUGAGAAAAAGAAUGUACGUAUGUGUUUGACUGGGUCACUUUGUGUACAGCAGAAAUUGACAGAACAUUGUAAAUCAACUAUAAUAAAAAUUUUUUUAGGAGUUCCCGUCGUGGCUCAGUGGAAACUAACCUGACUAGUACCUAUGAGGAUGCAGGUUCAAUCCCUGGCCUCGCUUAGUGGGUUAAGGAUCCAGUGUUGCCAUGAGCUGUGGUAAAGGUCGCAGAUGCAACUCAGAUCCCGCAUCACUGUGGCUGUGGUGCAGGCUGGCAGCUAUGCUCUGAUUUGACCCCUAGCCUGGGAACUUCCAUAUG